rnacentral:ncRNA from 2 species
UUCUUAUCCAGAGAGGUGGAGGGACUGGCCCUGCGAAACCCGGCAACCGCUACAUAUGUAGCAAGGUGCCAAAUCCUACUGAGCUUCAAGGCUCGGGAAGAUAAGAG